rnacentral:rRNA from 1 species
GACGAACCGUGCGAACGUUAUUCGGAAUCACUGGGCUUAAAGGGCGCGUAGGCGGGUCGUCAAGUCAGGGGUGAAAUCCCGCGGCUCAACCGCGGAAGUGCCUUUGAUACUGACGGCCUCGAGGGAGGUAGGGGCGUGUGGAACUUCCGGUGGAGCGGUGAAAUGCGUAGAUAUCGGAAGGAACGCCGGUGGCGAAAGCGACGCGCUGGACCUCUUCUGACGCUGAGGCGCGAAAGCUAGGGGAGCAAACAGG